rnacentral:rRNA from 1 species
CCUACGGGUGGCAGCAGUGAGGAAUAUUGGACAAUGGCCGGAAGGCUGAACCAGCCAUGCCGCGUGAAGGUAAGUGCCCCAUGGGCGUUAAACUUCUUUUGUGCGGGAGCAAUAAUGGUCACGUGUGGCCAGACGAGAGGACCGUACGAAUAAGCAUCGGCUAACUCCGUGCCAGCAGCCGCGGUAAGACGGGGGAUGCAAGCGUUAUCGGGGUUUAUUGGGUUUAAAGGGUGCGUAGGCUGUGAGGUAGGUCAGCGGUGAAAUGCCCCCGCUCAACGGGGUGAAGUGCCAUUGAUACUGCCUUGCUGGAGUGCGGAUGCCGUGGGAGGAAUGUGUGGUGUAGCGGUGAAAUGCAUAGAUAUCA